GAAAUGCGAUAAGUAGUGUGAAUUGCAGAAUUCAGUGAAUCAUCGAAUCUUUGAACGCACAUUGCGCCCCUUGGUAUUCCAUGGGGCAUGCCUGUUCGAGCGUCAUUUGUACCCUCAAGCUCUGCUUGGUGUUGGGUGUUUGUCCCGUCUCCGCGCGUGGACUCGCCCCAAAGUGAUUGGCAGCCGGCGUACUGGUCCCGGAGCGCAGCACAUGUCGCGCAAACGAGUGCCUUGGUACGGGGGCGUCCAUAAGCCCCUCUCUCACGCUCUUGACCUCGGAUCAGGUAGGGAUACCCGCUGAACUUAAGC
rnacentral:misc_RNA from 1 species